rnacentral:rRNA from 1 species
AUGGAGGGCUUCAGGGAUACUGUAGAUUACUGUCGGUUUAUCGACCUUGGGUUCUCUGGUCUUCCGUAUACAUGGGACAACCGGCAACAAGGUAGAUGUAACGUGAAAGUACGGCUGGAUAGAGGAAUGGCUGAUGAUAAAUUCCUAGAGCUUUUUGACAACACAUUUGUACAACACAUUCAGACAUCUGAAUCGGACCACUGUGCGCUUCUCUUAAGGACCCAACGGUCUGUUUGGGACCAUGACUACAGCCGCAACAAGCCUUUCCGUUUCGAGAAUGCAUGGACGAGGCAUGAGAGGUACGAGGAAGUGGUAGUUGAGAGCUGGCAACCACAAGCAAAUGACCUGGCCGGGGUAUAUGACGCACUGAAUUCUGUUCGCCAAAAGUUGCAGAAAUGGAGUAGGGAGGAGUUUGGUUCUGUUCAAAAACAGCUCAAAGCUAUGAGACACCGGCUAGAGAGGGUGCGAGCAGCUUCUCUGCGGUCUGGACCAACUAGAGCCGAGAAAGACCUCUUGAAACGUAUAUCUGAAUUGUUGGCCAGGGAGGAGGCGUUGACAAAGCAACGCUCCAGGGUACUAUGGCUAUCAGAAGGUGAUAGAAACACUGAAUUUUUCCAUGCUAAGAUGAAAGAAAGAUCCCGCAUAAAUAAGAUAAAAAAACUAAAGAAGCCAGAUGGCUCAGUGGCUAUGACACGGCCAGAGCUGGAGACCCUCGCUAUGAAUUUUUAUUCUGAUCUCUUCACAGCCCAACAUGAGACGAGGCCGGAGCUAGUGACAGACUGGGUUCCGAACAAAGUUACUGAAGCAAUGAAUGUUAGGCUGUGUGCACCAAUUUCCAAUGAAGAGAUAGAGAAUGCGCUCUUUAUGAUGCAUACCAAUAAAGCCCCUGGUCCUGAUGGGUUUACGGCGGGCUUCUAUAUUCGUCAUUGGUACUUACUUAAAGAUGUUGUUUGUGAUGCGAUUCGCACUUUCCUUGAGGGAGGAGAAAUGCCGGAGAUUGUGAACAGUACUGUGUUGGUUCUUAUUCCUAAAAUCAAAAAUCCGCAAGAUUUAACACAGUACAGACCGAUCUCCUUGUGUAAUGUGCUCUAUAAGCUAGCUUCAAAAGUCCUUGCUCUACGAUUGAGACCAGUACUGGAUGAUAUCAUUGCAGAAGAGCAGUCAGCGUUUGUCCCGGGCCGGCUGAUUUCGGACGACGUCCUAACGGCAUAUGAGUGCAUUCAUUAUCUUAAGAAAAAGAAGGGCAAGUCUGGAGAUAUGGCAGUGAAGCUUGAUAUGGCUAAGGCGUACGAUAGGGUGGAAUGGACAUACUUGCGUGCGAUGAUGGAGAAACUUGGGUUUGCUGCUGAGUGGAUCGACCGGGUAAUGGUAUGCGUUCAGACUGUGUCUUUUUCAAUUCGAGUUAAUGGGCAAUUCUCAGAAUCUUUCAGACCUACCAAAGGCAUCAGGCAGGGCGAUCCCAUCUCACCGUAUCUAUUUCUCAUAUGUGCGGAAGGGUUGAGCAGUUUGUUGAAAUUCCGUGGCCCAGACCAGCUAUCCCGAGGUGUUAGAGUUGGAAUACAUGCUCCAUGGGUGUCCCACUUGUUGUUUGUAGAUGAUUGUCUGGUGUUUACACAGGCAUCUUCUGAGGCAGCUACCAGAUUGCAUAACACUCUAAACGUCUAUCCAGAAGCUUCAGGCCAAAUGGUGAACCGAGCGAAGUCUGCCAUAUUCUUCAGUGCCAAUUGUUCUGACGAGAUGAAAGCGGUGGUCCGUGAGCAAACUGAGAUUGACACGGAAGCUCUUGUUGAGAAGUAUUUGGGGCUGCCAACGGCCAUUGGUCGCUCUUCCGAUGUUCAAUUCGAACACAUUGCCACCAGUAUCCGUAAACUAGUAAAUGGGUAUGUUCCCAAACUUCUGAGCACCGCAGCAAGGGAAGUUUUGAUCAAAGCGGUUUGUCAGGCAAUUCCCACAUAUUCCAUGAGUUGUUUCAGGUUGUCCAAAAAACUAUGUAAAAAGUUGACUGUUAUAGUGGCUCGAUUCUUCUGGGGUGGAGAUGAAAGCCGAAGGAAGCUUCAUUGGAAAAAAUGGAGAGAUAUAGCUAUACCAAAAGGAGAUGGAGGCAUGGGCUUUAGGGAUUUUGAAAUGUUUAAUCAAGCUAUGCUUGCAAAACAGGGCUGGAGGUUGAUUACCACACCAAAAUCAUUGUGUGCUAGAGUUCUUAAAGGCAAGUAUUUUCAUGAUCAUGACUUUAUGUUAGCCAAGAACAAGAGAGGGUCAUCACACAUUUGGAGGGCAAUACUCCAUGGCAGAGAGGUACUAAAACUAGGGUUAGUGAAGAGGGUUGGAGAUGGCUCUUCUAUUCGGCCUUGGGAUGAUCCAUGGAUUCCAUCUAAUUAUGGUUUCAAACCUAUUGUGAAGCUCCCAGGUGCAGCCGUGAACACAGUACAAGAUCUGAUAGAUGAAGACACUGGGGAAUGGGAUAUCAAUAUGAUAAAAUUGCAUUUUGUUGAACCUGAUGUGAGUGCAAUCUGCAGGAUCCCCCUCGGUCGCUUCACCGAGGACUCAUGGGUGUGGCACUUUGAAAAGCAUGGGAAUUUCACAGUAAGAUCAGCAUACAAAGAGCUAGUAGCUAAAUGCCAUCAAAGAGUCCAGCCGGGUUCCAGUAGUAGUCAAGCAAAUGCAUGGAAGAAAAUGUGGCGACUUCAAGUUCCUCCAAAGGUUAGGAAUUUCUGGUGGCGUAUUUGUCAUGAUUUCAUUCCGUGCCGCGCGGUGCUGAAGCGAAGACAUGUGGAGGAAAUUGACUUCUGUGAAAGUUGUGGGCAGCUGGAAACUUCGAUGCAUGCAAUUUUUCAUUGUACUUGGGCUCGGAGUUUUUGGGACGAGAUUAAAAUUCUAACUGGCAUUAAAAUUCCCAAACUUCACCCGCAGUCGUGGACACUUGAUCUUGUUGAUGGAACCAAGGUUUCUCAAGCAGAUGCUUGCGUUAUUUGUUGUGGUGCGUGGGCAAUAUGGACUGAGCGAAAUACAAGAAGACAUGGGGAGGCUGGACGUACCAUAGCGCAAUCUGUCAAAUGGGUUACUGAUACAGUGAUGGAUUUGGUUAUGGCAGGAAAAGAAAACUUAGUUAAGGCGCCGAAGGUGAAAGCUAAAUGGUCACCACCUGAAAAUGGAGUGAUCAAGAUGAAUGUAGAUGCCUCCUUUGAUAAGAAUACCAAUCAAGGGUCUUCCGGGCUGGUGAUCCGUGAUAGUUUUGGCAAUCUCCUACGUGCACAGGCCCUUUGGUAUGAGUUUGCAGCAAGCUCGAUGGCAAUGGAAGCUGAGGCGAUUCGGGAUGGGGUGCAAGUGGCCCUGGAGAGAGGCUUCCGUAGAGUUGUCGUCGAGAGCGACGCUCAAGCAAUCAUAAAGCUGUGGGAGACAGAAGAUUUUGAUCGUGCUGAGAUCGUUGGAGUUCUUCACGAGAUCAAAGAACUGAGUGCACAAUUU